GCAUUUGGUUACAAAUUGGCGCAGUUUGCUGAGGUUAAGUACACUAUUUUCAAACUUGUGUAUGUGGUGUUGAGGUUAGUUUAUGAAAAUACAAAGGGACAUAUGAAAAGAGCAAUACUUUCUGAAGACCGGAAUACGGAGAGAAUACCAAGAGGAAACGGUAGUGCGCAGCCGCAGAUCUGUUCGUGUUCUCUCUGCUUGUGGCGGGGCAUCAGUGGAAACUGCAGCUCUGGAAGCAAAGCAGGGACUCGUUAACUGCCUACUCCGAAGACUCGAGCCAGUUCUCUUCCGACUGCUGUUCUCUACUCCUUCAACUGCCAGCUUCGGAAUUCGCCUCUCUUAUAACCACUUUGCAGGGACCCAACGGAAAACGCAGCCUGUAUUGUUGGCAAAGCCUGUUUACCGCGCUACUGCUUAACACUGGACUCCCUAUUGUUGUCACGCGCUUAGGCGAGAAGUGUUUACCGGGUCAUUGCCUAGCAGUGGGCGCUCUAUUGUUGCGUGCACAUGUGUUGCGGGAAUGUGUUUAUCAAGCCUUUGCCUAGCAAUGGGCAUACAUGUUACAAUAUUGAAUAUUUGUGGGUGUUAUUCAUCAGAGAUUGCGUUAAACGCAUGCCUCGACGUAUCAUUCUCUGAGAUGUAGGAAAGAAUACGGGAUGAAGGGGAAGCUAACAAUACGGAAGUUUGUGCAACAAAUGAAAAGACUUGCCUCUCGCUCUCAACAGUUGGUACACUGAGAGACUGUGAAUAGAUACACCUGUUUCCUACCCGAAAGAAGCAGCUACGACGCUUCGUGAUGGAAAACAUUGACCUAAUGGCUGAGGGAGGAGAAGACCAGUGUCAGUGGGAACAGGAAAAUGAAACAGAGAACUGACGGCACGAUUAACAAAUGGAGGAACUGAAUGUGACUGCUGCAAUCGAUCCAAGGCUGGUACUGUCACGUGACCUGCUGCGUCCCCCUGGGGAUUCACCACAUUACGCUAAUCGCCGGUAUUUCCCUGUGCGGCGGCCUUUACACUCGUCAUUUUUAUUCUCCAUUCUGAGAGAUAAAUGGUCCAUACAGGAGACAAAUCUGUUAGUGGUAACAAUGUAUACCAGCUUGCUUCGAUAUUAAAUGCCGCGACAUUUCGCCCGCAUAAUUUAUUUCUGCGCUGCGUUUGGUUACCAGAACAGUCAAAGAUUCUUAUCCUAAACAUCAUUAACACUUUAAAGAACAGUGGUAAUUAUAUAUACCACCUUCUUUAACAUUAACGAAGCUUCUUUUUGCCCACAUAGUGUAUCUGUGUAUUUAUGAUUCUCAAAAUAAAGAGCAUUAAAUGACUGCU